rnacentral:rRNA from 1 species
GAUGAACGCUAGCGGCAGGCUUAACACAUGCAAGUCGAGGGGCAGCAUAAACAUUGCUUGCAAUGUUUGAUGGCGACCGGCGCACGGGUGCGUAACGCGUAUGUAACCUACCUCAAACAGGGGCAUAACACUGAGAAAUUGGUACUAAUUCCCCAUAACACUCUGGGAGGCAUCUCCUGGGGUUGAAAGUUCCGGCGGUUUGAGAUGGACAUGCGUUGUAUUAGCUAGUUGGUGAGGUAACGGCUCACCAAGGCGACGAUACAUAGGGGGACUGAGAGGUUAACCCCCCACAUUGGUACUGAGACACGGACCAACUCCUACGGGAGGCAGGCAGUGGGGAAUAUUGCACAAUGGGCGAAAGCCUGAUGCAGCGACGCCGCGUGAGCGAAG